UAGGGAAUCUUCGGCAAUGGGGGGAACCCUGACCGAGCAACGCCGCGUGAGUGAAGAAGGUUUUCGGAUCGUAAAGCUCUGUUGUUAAGGAAGAACGAGUGUGAGAAUGGAAAGUUCAUGCUGUGACGGUACUUAACCAGAAAUGGACGGCUAACUACGUGCCAGCAGCCGCGGUAAUACGUAGGUCCCGAGCGUUGUCCGGAUUUAUUGGGCGUAAAGCGAGCGCAGGCGGUUAGAAAAGUCUGAAGUGAAAUGCAGUGGCUCAACCAUUGUAAGCUUUUGAAACAUUUUAACUUGAGUGCAGGAGGGGAGGGUGGAAUUCCAUUUGUAGCGGUGAAAUGCGUGGAUAUAUGGAGACACACCUGUGGCGAAAGCGGCUCUCUGGUCUGUAACUGACGCUGAGGAUCGACAGCGUGGGGAGCGAACAGG
rnacentral:rRNA from 1 species